rnacentral:snoRNA from 1 species
GGCAUAAAUGAUGAGAAUGGCCUUGUAAACAAAGGCACAGGAGUUUCAUAAAGUUCUGGGGAAAGAGCCAAGUCUGCAGCACCCUCUGUCUU